rnacentral:rRNA from 1 species
UACGCAUGCAAGUCGAACGGUAACAGCACUUCGGUGGCUGACGAGUGGCGCACGGGUGCGUAACGCGUAUGCAAUCUACCUUUUACAGUGGGAUAGCCCAGAGAAAUUUGGAUUAAUACCGCAUAGUAUAUAGAAUUGGCAUCGAUUUUAUAUUAAACAUUUAUGGGUAAAAGAUGAGCAUGCGUUCUAUUAGCUAGAUGGAGUGGUAACGGCACCCCAUGGCGACGAUAGAUAGGGGCCCUGAGAGGGGGAUCCCCCACACUGGUACUGAGACACGGACCAGACUCCUACGGGAGGCAGCAGUGAGGAAUAUUGGACAAUGGGCGCAAGCCUGAUCCAGCCAUGCCGCGUGCAGGAAGACUGCCCUAUGGGUUGUAAACUGCUUUUAUACGGGAAGAAACACCCCCUCGUGAGGGGGCUUGACGGUACCGUAAGAAUAAGGAUCGGCUAACUCCGUGCCAGCAGCCGCGGUAAUACGGAGGAUCCAAGCGUUAUCCGGAAUCAUUGGGUUUAAAGGGUCCGUAGGUGGAUAAUUAAGUCAGAGGUGAAAUCCUGCAGCUCAACUGUAGAAUUGCCUUUGAUACUGGUUAUCUUGAAUUAUUAUGAAGUAGUUAGAAUAUGUAGUGUAGCGGUGAAAUGCAUAGAUAUUACAUAGAAUACCAAUUGCGAAGGCAGAUUACUAAUAAUAUAUUGACACUGAUGGACGAAAGCGUGGGGAGCGAACAGGAUUAGAUACCCUGGUAGUCCACGCCGUANACGAUGGAUACUAGCUGUUCGGAGCAAUCUGAGUGGCUAAGCGAAAGUGAUAAGUAUCCCACCUGGGGAGUACGUUCGCAAGAAUGAAACUCAAAGGAAUUGACGGGGGCCCCGCACAGCGGUGGAGCAUGUGGUUUAAUUCGAUGAUACGCGAGGAACCCUACCAGGGCUUAAAU